rnacentral:rRNA from 1 species
CCUACGGGAGGCAGCAGUAAGGAAUAUUGGUCAAUGGACGAAAGUCUGAACCAGCCAUGCCGCGUGAAGGAUGAAGGCCCUCUGGGUUGUAAACUUCUUUUAUAGGGGACGAAAAAAGGGAAUUCUUUCCCACUUGACGGUACCCUAGGAAUAAGCACCGGCUAACUCCGUGCCAGCAGCCGCGGUAAUACGGAGGGUGCAAGCGUUAUCCGGAUUUACUGGGUUUAAAGGGUGCGUAGGUGGGCAGUUAAGUCAGUGGUGAAAUCUCCGAGCUUAACUCGGAAACUGCCAUUGAUACUAUCUGUCUUGAAUAUCCUGGAGGUGAGCGGAAUAUGUCAUGUAGCGGUGAAAUGCUUAGAUAUGACAUAGAACACCAAUUGCGAAGGCAGCUCACUACGGGGUUAUUGACACUGAGGCACGAAAGCGUGGGGAUCAAACAGGAUUAGAUACCCUGGUAGUCCACGCCCUAAACUAUGGAUACUCGACAUCAGCGAUACACUGUUGGUGUUCUGAGACGAAGACAUUAGUUACGUCCCACCGUACGGGUAAGGUACGAGUCGCGAAGAAGUUAGUAACGUACGAAAGGAAAGUUAGUACGGCGUGAGACGUACGACCGAACGGACGACGACGGAGGGAGGAGG